rnacentral:rRNA from 1 species
UUUGACCUCAAAUCAGGUAGGACUACCCGCUGAACUUAAGCAUAUCAAUAAGCGGAGGAAAAGAAACUAACAAGGAUUCCCCUAGUAACUGCGAGUGAAGCGGGAAAAGCUCAAAUUUAAAAUCUGGCGGUCUCCGGCCGUCCGAGUUGUAAUCUAGAGAAGUGUUAUCCGCGCUGGACCGUGUACAAGUCUCCUGGAAUGGAGCGUCAUAGAGGGUGAGAAUCCCGUCUUUGACACGGACUGCCAGGGCUUUGUGAUGCGCUCUCAAAGAGUCGAGUUGUUUGGGAAUGCAGCUCAAAAUGGGUGGUAAAUUCCAUCUAAAGCUAAAUAUUGGCGAGAGACCGAUAGCGAACAAGUACCGUGAGGGAAAGAUGAAAAGAACUUGGAAAGAGAGUAAACAGUACGUGA